GAUGAAGAACGUAGCGAAAUGCGAUAAGUAAUGUGAAUUGCAGAAUUCAGUGAAUCAUUGAAUCUUUGAACGCACAUUGCGCCCCCCAGUAUUCUGGCGGGCAUGCCUGUUCGAGCGUCAUUUCAACCAUCAAGCCCUGCUUGUGUUGGGGUCCUGCGGCUGCCCGCAGGCCCUGAAAACCAGUGGCGGGCUCGCUAGUCACACCGAGCGCAGUAGCACAUCUCGCUCAGGGCGUGCGGCGGGCUCCAGCCGUUAAAGCACCCACCUUUCGCAAGGUUGACCUCGGAUCAGGUAGGAAUACCCGCUGAACUUAAGCAUAUCAAUAAGCGGAGGA
rnacentral:misc_RNA from 1 species